rfam:Sorghum bicolor cultivar BTx623 chromosome 1, whole genome shotgun sequence.
ACGACCUUACUUGAACAGGAUCUGUUCUAUAGGAUCGUACCGCUGCAUCCUUGACUAAUAAGGAGGCAAGCACUUAAGCCUGGUUGAUGAGUCAUGACCUGUGGGCCAGAGCGUGAUUAACGGCCAGGAUUAAGCUUGAUGCUGGGUCUGGUGCUGUAGAGGAUCGUUCCUGGUUGGGUCCUGCCUAGCUGGGGUGGCCCAUGGGUUGUCUGACAGGCU